UCUCGCACGCAGGGACCCAGGCUUGAUCCAUCUCGGGGCAUCACUGCUGUGUUUCCUCACACCACAAAGUGUGUGACUGCUCCUGAGAAUGCAGCAUGCGACUGUUUCAAGACUGUAUUUAAGCAGAAGAGUUCCCUCUGGAUUUUGCAGUGAUAACAUUAAGUGCAGCAGAAGGACUGGUUAAAUAAGCAGGAGGGGCCUGAGCUGACUGGUUUGGUGUUCAUUUCUUUGUCAGCUGCCAUUGGAAUAGUGUUCAGAUUAAUGUGAUUAGCCUUUGCAGUGGCUGCAGCUUCAGAGACCAACUGUGCACUUGUAUCAAAGCCAUCAGAAUGAUUUUAGUCCAGGGUUCCUAACAGAAUUAUUUAUAUAAAAUGUAUUUGAAAUCCUAUAUUGGCCAUUUACACGUGAGGAUUUCUAUUUCAGGAAGCUUUGGAAACAGGCAGGACCUUCAAUUGCACCCUUUCCAAAAGAUACAAGAUCCUUUUAACAUUUAAUGAUGACUGAGAAGGUGCUUAAAAAUAACGUAGAAGCACAAAGCACAUUAGUGUGCUCCCUGCUGGUUACAGGACUGGACUAACAGUUACAUUUUGGAUUCCAUUUGCAUUUCUUGUCCUUUCUUGCUUCAUGACCUGAGAUGAAUUGCAUAGUUCCCCUUGACAAAUGAGCUUAAUACUUAUCUAUUGUCCAUAUUUACAUUAUUACAUUUUA